rnacentral:rRNA from 1 species
CAGUAGCGUAUGCUAAAGUUGUUGCAGUUAAAAAGCUCGUAGUUGGAUUUCUGGUGGGAGCGAUCGGUCUGGCGCUUAGCGCGAGUACUUGCAUCGUCUCCGGCCAUCCUUGGGGAGAGUCUGUCUGGCAUUAGGUUGUCGGGCAGAGGAUCCUCAUCGUUUACUGUGAAAAAAUUAGAGUGUUCAAAGCAGGCUUAUGCCGUUGAAUAUAUUAGCAUGGAAUAAUAAGAUAGGACUUUGGUACUAUUUUGUUGGUUUGCGCACCAAAGUAAUGAUUAAUAGGGACAGUUGGGGGUAUUCGUAUUCCGUUGUCAGAGGUGAAAUUCUUGGAUUUACGGAAGACGAACUACUGCGAAAGCAUUUACCAAGGAUGUUUUCAUUAA